rnacentral:rRNA from 1 species
UACCAGCACCCCGAGUGGUCGGGACGUUUAUUGGGCCUAAAGCAUCCGUAGCCGGUUCUACAAAUCUUCCGUUAAAUCCACCUGCUUAACAGAUGGGCUGCGGAAGAUACUAUGGAGCUAGGAGGCGGGAGAGGCAAGCGGUACUCGAUGGGUAGGGGUAAAAUCCGUUGAUCCAUUGAAGACCACCAGUGGCGAAGGCGGCUUGCCAGAACGCGCUCGACGGUGAGGGAUGAAAGCUGGGGGGAGCAAACCGG